CUCCUUUAAAAUCAUUCAGAUACACCAUCGACAUAAAGGUUAAUGCUUUAAAUAAAGCUGUGAUCAACUGUUUGAGGGCGACAAUCAGUGGACAGAAAUUUCCAAUUUGUGUCAAGAAAGGCAUGAAAAUAUCCAGUACAAACAUCACUACAGGUGAGAGAAAUAGGAGAAGAGUAAUGAUAUUCUGUCCACAUUCAUCUGACAAAUAAUUUUCCUAUUUGUUCUUUUUUUAUUCAUUCAUUCAUUUUCUUUUUCGGCUUAGUUUCUUUAUUAAUCUUGGAGCGCAACAGCGGAAUGAGCCACCAACUUAUCCAGCACAUGUUUUACGCAGCGGAUGCCCUUCCAGCUGUAACCCAUCUCUAGGAAGCAUCCAUACACACUUAUUCACACUCAUACACUACGGACAAUUUAGCCUGCCCAAUUCACCUGUACCGCAUGUCUUUGGACUGUGGGGGAAACCGGAGCACAUGGAGAAAACCCAUGCGAACGCGGGGAGAACAUGCAAACUCCACACAGAAACACCAACUGACCCAGCUAAGGCUCUAACCAGCGACCUUCUUGCUAUGAGGCGAUAGCACUACCUACUGCGCCACCGCGUCACUGUUAGUUCUUUAUUUAUUUUAAUGAAUUGUAUUUUUGUUUGUGUGUUUGUUUUGCAGUGUGUCUCUCAAAUUCAAGCCAGACCAAAUGCAGCUGUGAGAAUCAGUACAUCUGGUCCUCUGAACAAUGCUCUAAACAUGGCGAUUGUGGUUCAAUUCAAAGUAACACAUGUGGAUGCAUCACUUCUCUUCCAACUGAUGGGUCAUUCUGUCGGCCACCAAGAGCUCAACUAAAAUCAUUCAGAUACACCAUUGACAUAAAAGUUAAUGCUUCAAAUAAAGCUGUGAUCGACCGUUUGAGGGCGUUGAUGAGUGGACAGAAAUUCCCAAUGUGUGUCAAGAAAGGCAUUGAAGUCUCCAGUGCAAACAUCACUACAGUUUGUCUCUCAAAUUUAAGCAAAACUGAGUGCAGAUGUGAGAAUCAGUACAUCUGGUCUUCUGAACAAUGCUCUAAACAUGGCGUUUGUGGCUCUGGUCAGAACUAUACAUGUGGAUGCAUCACUUCUCUUCCAACUGAUGGAUCAUUCUGUCGUCCACCAACUGCUUAUCUAAAAUCAUUCAGAUACACGACUGACAUAAAAAUCAAUGCUUCAAGAGUUGUUGUGAUUGAUCGUUUGAGGACAUUGAUCCAAGAACAAAAAUUCCCAAUGUGCAUCAAGAAAGGAGUGAAAAUCUCCAGUGCAAACAUCACUACAGUUUGUCUUUCAAAUUCAAGCAAAACCGAGUGCAGCUGUGAGAAUCAGUACAUCUGGUCCUCUGAACAAUGCUCCGAACAUGGCAUUUGUGGCUCUAGGGAAAAUAAUACAUGUGAAUGCAUCUCAUCUCUUCCAUCGCAUGGGUCAUUCUGUCAUCCACCAUCUGCUCAACUCAUGUCAUUCAGAUACACCAUUGACAUAAAAAUCAAUGCUUCAAGUCAUGUUGUGAUGGACCGUUUGAGAGCAUCAGUUCAUUUGGAACAAAAAUUCCAAAUGUGUAUUAAGAAAGGCAUGAAAAUAUCCAGUCUAAACAUCACUAUAGGCUGUCCUGCACCUACAACCAUCCCAAGCACAACCCCAAGUGUACCUACACCAUCUACAAUAUCAAUGCCAGCAUCAACAAGCAUCACAGCAGAUAUUACAAGCCAAUCAACACUGAUCCCAAACACACCUGACAUUGAUACAACAACAACAACAACAACAAUAAGCAGUCCAGAACCUACCAGAACUACAACUGCAGAAAUUACACUUGUUACAAGCAUUUCAACCCUAAUCCCGGACACAACUGAUAGUUCAGCAACUCCAGCUCCUACUACAACAGAAGAAACUACAAUUAUGACAAGCCCUCCAACUCUGUUCCCAAACACAAUGGAGAAUUCAACAGUAACAAGCACUACAACAUCUACUACAACAGAAGACAUUACAAUUAUAACAAGCCCUUCAACUCCGAUCCCAAACACAACUGAGAGUUCAACAAUAACAAGCACACCAGCACUUACUACAACAGAAGAAACUACAAUUAUUACAAGCCUUUCAACUUCGAUCCCAAACACAACUGAGAGUUCAACAUUAACAAGCACACCAGCACCUACUUUAAAAGAAGAGACUACAGUUAUUAUAAGCCUUCCAACUCCGAUCUCAAACACAACUGAGACUUCAACGAUGACAAGCACUACAGCAUCUAGUACAGUUAUUACACCCCUUAUUCCAAACACAACUGAAAGUACAACGGUAGAAACUACAGAUAUGACAAGCCUUUCAACAAUUCCAAACACAACUGAAAGUUCAACAGUUACAAGUGUUUCAACUUCAACAGCAGAAACAAGUAGGUCUUUGUGACAUUUUACUCUGAGCUUACAG
ensembl:lincRNA